CGAUGGGACAAAACCACAGCACACUCCUGGCCACUCUCCCCAUGAGAACUCAGCUGGAAGGAAGAGCUGCCAACACUCUACCUGACAGGACGGCAGUGAAUGCUGCCUCAGGAAGACGGAACACAGACAGGCUCGACACACACUGGAUUGCCUCCAGACCACGGCACAAGCCUGGCCUCUCUGCCCUUGAGAAGUCAGCUGUUAGGAACUUGCAGCGCUCUCUAGGACAGUUCAGAUCUCCCCAACCAAAGCCCAGCAGGCUGGCCAUUGCUGCUCUGUUUGGUGCUUUUCCUCUUUCAGCCAGAAACGGCACAAUCCUGGCGUCUCUGCCCUCGAGCACUCAUCGACGAGGAAGAGCUGCCAACGCUCCCUAGGACAAUUAAGAUCGCUCCAACCCACACCCACCAGCCUCUAACAGCAAGCAGGACGGUGACACGCUCGGGCCAGGAGGGCAGUGACCGCUCCAUGAGGACGAUGGCACAGGGACAGCCUCGGUGAGCCGCUGGAGACCCCUGGG
rnacentral:lncRNA from 1 species